UGCGUAGGCGGUUUGGUAAGUCUUAUGUGAAAUCUACAGGCUCAACUUGUAGUCUGCAUGAGAAACUGCCGGGCUUGAGUAUGGGAGAGGUGAGUGGAAUUUCCGGUGUAGCGGUGAAAUGCGUAGAUAUCGGAAGGAACACCUGUGGCGAAAGCGGCUCACUGGACCAUAACUGACGCUGAUGCACGAAAGCUGGGGGAGCAAACAGGAUUAGAUACCCUGGUAGUCCUAGCCCUAAACGAUGACUGCUUGGUGUGACGGGUACCCAAUCCCGCCGUGCCGUAGCUAACGCGUUAAGCAGUCCGCCUGGGGAGUACGGUCGCAAGGCUGAA
rnacentral:rRNA from 1 species